rnacentral:rRNA from 1 species
GCGUAGGAACCUGCCCAGUAGUGGGGGAUAGCCCGGUGAAAACCGGAUUAAUACCGCAUACGCUCUACGGAGGAAAGGGGGCUUCGGCUCUCGCUAUUGGAUGGGCCUGCGUGAGAUUAGCUAGUUGGUGAGGUAAUGGCUCACCAAGGCGACGAUCUCUAGCUGGUCUGAGAGGAUGAUCAGCCACACUGGGACUGAGACACGGCCCAGACUCCUACGGGAGGCAGCAGUAGGGAAUCUUCCGCAAUGGACGAAAGUCUGACGGAGCAACGCCGCGUGAGUGAAGAAGGUUUUCGGAUC